rnacentral:rRNA from 1 species
UGCAGUCGAACGAUGAUGCCCAGCUUGCUGGGUGGAUUAGUGGCGAACGGGUGAGUAACACGUGAGUAACCUGCCCCUGACUCUGGGAUAAGCGUUGGAAACGACGUCUAAUACUGGAUAUGACUGCCGGCCGCAUGGUCUGGUGGUGGAAAGAUUUUUUGGUUGGGGAUGGACUCGCGGCCUAUCAGCUUGUUGGUGAGGUAAUGGCUCACCAAGGCGACGACGGGUAGCCGGCCUGAGAGGGUGACCGGCCACACUGGGACUGAGACACGGCCCAGACUCCUACGGGAGGCAGCAGUGGGGAAUAUUGCACAAUGGGCGAAAGCCUGAUGCAGCAACGCCGCGUGAGGGAUGACGGCCUUCGGGUUGUAAACCUCUUUUAGUAGGGAAGAAGGGAGCUUGCUCUUGACGGUACCUGCAGAAAAAGCACCGGCUAACUACGUGCCAGCAGCCGCGGUAAUACNUANGGUGCAAGCGUUGUCCGGAAUUAUUGGGCGUAAAGAGCUCGUANGCGGUUUGUCGCGUCUGCUGUGAAAUCCCGAGGCUCAACCUCGGGCUUGCA